rnacentral:lncRNA from 1 species
CUGUCUUUUCAGGGCUCACACAUGCUAAGCAAGCUCUUUACCACUGGGCUACAAGCCCAUGGUAUCCCUUCAGGACUUCUGCCUAGGUCUCCAAUCUCCUUUCAGGUUUUAACUGUGCCUCUGAAACUACAGUAGCCAUCUUGAAAGAACAGUUCCAGACUUCAUCUGCUUCUGAAACCAAGAAUUCUAUGGACAGCAUGAGGGAUCAGUGCCAGCAACUCAGGAUCAGACACUGGGAGAGAAACUACACUGUACUUGCAUACAUUCAGGAAAUCUCACCAAGGGAGCUAUUGAGCCUCACAAUACAAUAAACUCCUUUACUUCAAUAUUCAAACAAGAUUUGGGAUCACGUACGCAGAAAGACAUACCCUGCAAAACUGAAAAACAAACAAACAAGCCAACCUAAACAGAAAAUGGCAAAUGCAAGUAAAAAGUAAAAUACGGAUGCAAGAGUUAGGGUGUGAAAUGCAAAUGAAAAACGGAGUUGGUAGGAAAGUGAACGGUCAGUCUGACUGAGCUGCACAACAGUGCCUUCCUCACACGAGAGGUUUCCUGGGCAGAGCUAAAGCAUAGCCAGAGAGAGACCUGGAAGAUGCAUCCCAGCACAGCAAACUGGAUCAUCUGCGGAGGAAGGAGGCCAUCCCUGAGCUCCUCUGCUCUAAUUGUGAUUCUAACCCAAAAUACAAACAUAUUUAGUAUGCAUUAAGUAACUCUCAACAUUUAGCCAUUUGUGUAGUGGUGUCAUGAUUUUUGGUGUGUUAACCCCUUACUUUUCUUGGACCCAGCACCUUUAGUAAAAUUAUUCAGAAAAAAAAAAGCCUAAAUGAACAAGCUUUCUUUACUACAUCCUUUAAAACAGAUCUGUUUUUAUGUGUUCGUGUCUCUGUGUGUAUAUGCAUCCAAGUGCAUGCAGUUGCAUGAGAUGGCCAAAAGAGGGCAUCAGAGAUCCCUGGAGCCGGAGCUACAGGGUAGUUGUGAGCAGUAUGCGCUCUUAACUAGUGAGUCAUCUCUCCAGCCCUGCUACAGUAUUUUUAAUACACAUGAACAUUAAUCCAUAGUAUUAAAAUCACAAAUUUAUCAAUUUACUCUAAAGAAGGCUUAGAUAAAGUUUGGUUCAAAAUAUUGUGCAUAAAGUAUAAUUUGGGAUGCCUCUACUGAAAUAAAAUUGUUGACCACCUACUUUCAUCUUUGGCUGAAGCUUGUGGCCUUGAGCUUGAAGCUAUUAUGGAUGGAAUAUGUAAUGUCUUCACGUGAUUUGGAUGUUUGGUUCCUAGCUGAGAGUACUCUUCUGAAAAUUUUAGGAAAUUUUAGGAGGUGGAGAUUAAUUGGUGAAAGUAGAUUACUGGGGAUAAUUCUUGGAAGUAUGCGGUCCCUUACUAAAUCAAAACUUACCAAUAUUAAGUCAUCCUAAUAGGCUUAAAUGUGUUAUUUAAUUAUUUUACUUGAAUUUACUCUGCAUGUGUGUGUGUGUGUAUGAGUGUGUGUGUGUGUGUGUGUGUGUGUGUGUGUGCACUUGUGCAAAUGCAAGUACACAUUUGCCAUACCACUGGAAUAGAGGUCAGAGAAUAAUUGUGUUUACCACUGUGUUGUGUAUUCCAGGCUAACCUGACCUGCGAGCUUCUGGGUGAUCCUCCUGUUAUCACUGCCUCUUGCUGUUUGAGGACUAGGAUCAUACACACGUGUCACAGGAUGUGGCUUUUUGUGUGACUCGGGUCAUUAAACUUGCUCAGCGAUUACUUUUGCCUGAUGCCCUUUCUCCUAGCCAGAGAUUCCUUAAUUACUAAGUUGCAGCAAUGUCACAUGGUCAUCAAUACCCCUAGGCACUCAAUUUUCUCCAAUUUAAUAAAUGGGGAUUGCUAGCAUAUUACCUCAAGUUUUUUCAUCAUUGAUUGGCUGGACAUCUAUGCAUUCAUGACUAUGGGUCAUGCACCUCUCUUUUUCCCUUAAUUUAUUUAUUCAUUCACUUUGCUUCCCAAUCAUAGCUGCCUGCCCGGUGCUCCCCUCCCCCUUCCCUCCUCCUCUGAGAAGGAAGAGGAUACACUGGGUAUCAACCCAUCCUGGCACAUCAAAUCACUGCAGAACUAGGAGAAUUCUCUCCACCUGAGGCCUGACAAAGCAGCCCAGUUAGGGGAACAGGAUCUGCAGGCAGGCAACGGAUUUCAGGGACAGCCCCUGCUCCAGUUUCAGGCACUGAAUGAAAACCAAGCCAUGCACUUUUCUUAUUUGUGACUUUCCAAUUCACUCAAGGCCCAACUUCCCACCCAGCAGCUGACUUCAGUGGUGCGGAGUACUUACCACUUCUUAGAAGCAGUCAGUUUGACUGUUAUUUUUGUGGCAAAUAUUCUUUCCCAGUUCACUGUUUCUAUAUUUAUGUGUCUUUAUAGAAUUUGUAAAAAGAGUUAUAAACACUUAUAUAGCUAAGUAUAGCCUAAUUAACUUUUGAAUAUAUUCUUUGUUUCAAACUGGAUGAAAGACUAAAACUCAUAUGCAAAUUGCUCUAUUGCAAGUUUGAAUUCUAAUCUGUUUCUAGAAGGAAGGGACAGUUCAACAAUUUUUUUGGUCCCACUCUAGGAAGCAUCAGCACCAUUUAUGGGAAUAAAAUGUCCAAACAAACCUUAAGCAUUUGUCUUAAGUCAUUAUUAGAAAGAGUCUCAUAUAGUCUAGGUUCAAGACUAUGAAAUUUAUCCUUCUGACUGACACACCGUUUAACAUGUGUUUUAAGUCAAAUUUGAACUUGCCAGUUAACGUGAACGAUUGGGCUCUGUACUGGGUGGGCCAGCCUCUGGUCUCAGGUUUUCUGUUUACCAGGUGCUGACAUUCGGAGGCCUCGUCAUCCUUUUUCCAGUUCUGUUUGUUCACUUUCUGUUGAGAGUUGCUCCACAAUAAAUUAAAUCCAAGCA